GUUUGUUAUUGUUUUUUUUUAUUCAAGUCCUAAUUUUAAAGAGUUAUGACCCUUUAAUUAUUCGCAUACACAGGCGACACCUCCACUUCCGUGGAAUUCUUGUAUGAAUUAAUAAUUUAAACCAUAUUUGAAUGAUUUUUCACAUAAUACUCAUGUUUUAAAUAAUUUCGUUAAUUUACCUUUAUAUAUUUAAAUUGGUAUAUCUAUGAUUUUCAUAACAGAAUAUAUUUACAUUGAUACAUAUAAACUAACAGUUAAUCAUAUGUGUACAAUUUCAAAUGCAAUUAACUACAAUUUUUUAAAUACAGCUGAUAUAAUCUGUUAGGGUAAACUUGGUAAAGUAUUGUAGGUUGUUUUCCUCUCCUAAGGAUGAGUCCAUUUUAACAUUGUAGGUUAUUUUCCUCUCCUAAGGAUGAGUCCAUUUUAACAUUGUAGGUUAUUUUCCUCUCCUAAGGAUGAGUUCAUUUUAGCAUUAUUUUCCUCUCCUAAGGAUGAGUUCAUUUUAACAUUUUUAGUAUAUCUCUAGGCCAUGUUCCCUCCAGAGUCAGAUAGAUGGGACCUUAUACGGGAAAUCCUGCUGUGUGGAUAGAGGGAUUUUACAUAAAUCUGUAUAAUGUUUGACACAGGAUUUUCUUUGUUGCGAAGAUGAAUGAUUUGCCUCUAUGAGUGUGGGGAGAUGGUAAGCUAUUCUGCAAUCUCCCCAUUAAUUUAAUGGAUUAUACCGUAACAUUAUUUUACAAACUUCACAUAACAAAACAUAUAUAACAGUAGGGCAGAUUUUCAUGGAUCGUUAUUAGUUUAGUCUUUGUGCAGAGAGAUUUCACUGCUAUCUACGAAAAUAAAACUCUAAUCACAUCUAUAUGGAAUCCGAUUAACAGUGUUUAGUUCCGGUUCUGUCCAUGUUUACCGAUAGGUUAUAAAACUUCAUCACAUCUAUAUGGAAUCCGAUUAACAGUGUUUAGUUCCAGUUCUGUCCAUGUUUACUGAUAGGUUAUAAAACUCUAAUCACAUCUAUAUGGAAUCCGAUUAACAGUGUUUAGUUCCGGUUCUGUCCAUGUUUACUGAUAGGUUAUAAAACUCUAAUCACAUCUAUAUGGAAUCCGAUUAACAGUGUUUAGUUCCGGUUCUGUCCAUGUUUACUGAUAGGUUAUAAAACUCUAAUCACAUCUAUAUGGAAUCCGAUUAACAGUGUUUAGUUCCAGUUCUGUCUAUGUUUACUGAUAGGUUAUAAAACUUCAUCACAUCUAUAUGGAAUCCGAUUAACAGUGUUUAGUUCCAGUUCUGUCCAUGUUUACUGAUAGGUUAUAAAACUCUAAUCUCAUCUAUAUGGAAUCCGAUUAACAGUGUUUAGUUCCGGUUCUGUCCAUGUUUACUGAUAGGUUAUAAAACUCUAAUCACAUUUAUAUGGAAUCCGAUUCAGUGUUUAGUUCCGGUUCUGUCCAUGUUUACUGAUAGGUUAUAAAACUCUAAUCACAUCUAUAUGGAAUCCGAUUAACAGUGUUUAGUUCCGGUUCUGUCCAUGUUUUCUGAUAGGUUAGGGUGUGUGCAUAUAAUACUCAUUUAUUUGAAGAUAAAUUUUAGUGAAGUAUGUUAUAUAGUACUAUAGUGGUGGUAUUUGAAUUAUUUACAUCAGAGGUUAUGCAAGCCUAUGGCAUUGUAGCUAUACACUGUAAAGUUAUCAAAGCUCUAAGCUGAAUUGUUCUAUCUGUUGUUCCUUUGUUGGUAUUGCUAAGAGCGGGUAUUAAUAAAAUCAAAUACAUGUAUUUCAACUAUUGUUUUGUUACGAAAUUUAAUGUAGGUAGCUGAUUUUGAAUUGCAUCAAUGAGGAAUUUAUUUUGGAUUGUGCGUUUUUCCUCAGAAAAGCUGCAAACUUAUAUUUCAAUUCCAUUGACUGAAUUAAUGCCCACGUUAUAAGAGAAUUACACUAUCCUCAAUAGCUUUAUUUUCUUUGUGAAUAUUUUGUUUUUGUACUCUCAUUAUUGAGGAAUAAAGAGUGAUGAUGAUGUUUAACUGAAUUUCACAGUAUUCACUUUAAGUUAUUGACAUAUUGAACAUCAGUUUGCUGAUAAGAUAUGAUACAUGGCAGCCACAUAGUUAUUUACUAAAACGUAUUGUUGAGUGUAUGUUGAUAUUAUACUUUAUAUCUUUUACAAUUGCAAAGCUGUUAUUUUGGAAGUGUUUGCAGUCAGUUGUUUUUUAUGAAAUAAUCUGUGAUAAAUAUGUUUGUGUGUGAUUCCUACAAAUCUAAUCUCACUUUGAUCAUUUUAGUAAAAACUGUUGUGCCGAUGUAUCGUUAAGUCACCGUUAAUAUGAGUAUAAUAUUGAGUGAAAAACACCUUUGUAAAGUGUAAGACAGAGACCACUCUGUCCAAAGAAAGGCCAUAUCUUGCAUUUCAAGUGAAUAUAAAUUGUAGAUCAGGAACUACCUCCAGUAUCAUUAAUGUAGAGUGCUUGUAUAUUUUAUGUGGACUCUUUACAGUGCAUGCUGGCAUGCAAAAAUGUUAUAUACACGUUGAUAAGAAUACAUUUUACGUAGUAGUUUGGAAUCUGCCAUUUUUGCCAUAUUCUAUUUCAAUUGGCGAAGCAGAGUUGUAGACGGAUGUACAAAAUUUGUUAGCUCUCCACAAAAAAUAAUCGCUCUCUUUUAAUUUUGUUGUAAGCACAACUGUUCAUCUCUUUUAAAAUGAGGUGUACAAAUGUCAUCCUUAUUGUUUAAUACUUAGUACUUGAUAUUCUGUUCUGUGAUAGUUAUCAUAUUUUCCACUAAUUUUUAUACUUUAAAUGUCACUAAAUAUGAAAAGUUCUCCAGCGCAAGUGUUUAUUGUUGAAACUGCCACUAAUUAACUGCUAACGUAUUAAGAACAAAGCAUUUGUACGAAAACACAGUAUUAUAUCUGUGGUCUUUCUAUAUGGAGAUAAAAUGUAUUUUUUAAUUAAUAAAAAU